GAUACAGAAACUGAAGCACAUGCAUUUUAAGUAUGUUAACAAAGUAACACACCUGAAGUCAUCAUGCGUCCGUGACUUAAAGCCGAUCGCAGAAUUCUGAUCCCGAGCAAGCCAUGCCAGCUGAUCCCAGAAUCAAAGCCUCCCCUCUCUGCACACAUCAGGCCAGUCUGGCUCCUCCCAGGCCUCCUCCAGGGACCUCCAGCAGCCACAGAGGAGGAGGAGCACACGCGCCGACAUUUCUCAGCCUCGGGUACCAGGUUCUUUUUUGUGCCAAGGUGUCUGGAAAUGACAUCUCUCAAAUUAAAAGAAGCAAAUGAAAGGCCAUUCUCCUGCAAGUUCCACUUUAUCUGACCUCCAAGGAGUCCUCAAUGACAAAGUCAAAAUCAGGUCAGGCGCACCUGAAUAAUCCAUCAAGAUAGUCACACAGGACAUUGAACGGCUCUAAGGAUGCAAAGCGAUGCUGGCAGCAUCUUCCAAACAGAGGGUGAACUGCAAAGGCCCGGCGGCAGAGCAGAAGGCACAGCACAUUGAUAAAAUGUCACAGAAAAAAAGAAAAUUUCAAACAGCCUGGAAGGAAAGGGCGGGGGUGGGGGGAAACCCGCUUUUCUCAAAAACUAAUAAUUCCGAAGUAAACAGAACAUAAGACGCCCAAAAGAAGCAAUGACAUCAAAAAAUAACAAUACAAAUGGAAAACAUCACAGGCCAGUUAUUUGGUCAUUUAACAAUACUUUAAAAAAACGAUCCGCAGGAAGCAAUUGCUCUGUUUAUUUUCCUAGACUAGGAGGGAUGUAACUGCUGGGCGAGGGAAGAAAAGUAAACAAACAGCCGGAGAAACAAAGAUGCAGUUUCAGAGGGACGACCUGGGGCAGCAGGAUUAAACAGCCAGCAGCCUUGAGCAGAAAGUGCAGCCUUUCUGCCCACACUUAAAGACAGGAAGUUGAUUUAAAGAAAAGAAAAGAAAAAGAAGAAUUUCAGCCCUGAGAUGCAGAUUUUUUAAAAAGGGAAACAGGAAAAAGUCAAAAGUUGGCAGGAGUUUUUGGAAACACAGCCCCGCCCUCAGGUGUGCCUCUGCAAGCCCUCCGGGGUUCCGCCCUGCUUCCCGAUGGCUGUUACCACCUAUGGCCGAGCCUCCAAGGCAACGUUACUUCUCCUAAGUGCUUUGCUUUGUUUUGUUUUGUUUCUGAUUUUUUAAUUGAAGUAUAGUCGAUUUACAAUGUUGUGUUAGUUUCUGGUGUACGGCACCGUGAUUCAGUUUCAUGUAUAUGUUCCUUUUCAUAUCCUUUUCCAAUAUAGGUUAUUACAAGAUAUUGAAUAUGGUUCCCUGUGCUGUGCAGUAGGACCUCGUUGUUUAUUUCAUAUGUAGUAGUUAGCAUUUGCAAAUCCCAGACUCCCAAUUUAUCCCUCCCCAUCCCUCCUUUCCUCCUGGUAACCAUAAGUUUGUUUUCCAUAUCUGCGAAUCUGUUUCUGUUUUAUAAAUACGUUCAUUUGUGUCUUUUUUUUUAGAUUCCACUUAAGCGAUAUCAGAUGGUAUUUUUCUUUCUCUUUCUGGCUUACUUCACUUAGUAUGAUCAUUUCUAGGUCCAACCAUGUUGCUGCAAAUGGCAUUAUUUCAUUCUCUUUGUGGCUGAGUGCUUUCUAAGAGAUGCUAACUUAACUGAAUAGGGACUUCUGGACAGAAAAAAGUCGAGUCUGUGAGUGGAAGAGGCUUUUUCCAUCCUCAGGCAAAAUCAGAGGGGCAGCUUAGCUCACGUUUGGGGAGAAGCCUCUUUGGGAAGGUAGAGACGGGGUAGGGCUGUUCCCCGCUGCAGCUGUUUCUACAGAGAGGACAGCACAGAGGAUAUAUUCCCAAAGCAGCCGCCAGCGUGAGGUCCUGGACCAGGGUGCAGACUCAGGCCUGCAGAAGGGGGAGUGCGGGACCAAAGGCAAGGAGCCCCGCUCACGUGGCUGGAGCACCUGGAAAAGCCCGGCAGGCACCAGGCUCCCGAGACCCAGGCACCCCCAGCUGGCAGCGCCCUCUUUGGUCAGAGCACUUGGAAGGCACAAAGGGGCGUGCCCACCAAGCUCGAGGUUAGAGGGGUGGGAGGCUGGGAAGUCACUCCCCUCCAAACCCCAACCCCAAACAACAGGCUAGGGGUGAAUGUUAAUUAAAAGAAAAAGGCGACCCACCCAGAAACUGCGUGUCCUCUGGGCUGGCGUUCCUUCCUUGUCUGGGAUGCCUUGUGAAGUGACAGCCCAGGCUCCUGACCCAGCAUUUCGUUCUGGGGUCCCAGAGCAGACAAGUGAGCCCCCCCGGAAGUAUGCCGGGGUCUCCCAGGGAAACCAGCAUCCCAGUAUCCCCGCCCCCGCCUGGACCGCGCUGCGGUGAUUGCUGCGCGGUGGGCAACUUGCACGCCAGCAUCUGCCAGCCUCCUUGUGAGGGGUCCAAGGAGGCCUCACUGUGCCUCCGUGCCUUCUUGGAAUUCUGCGCCAGUUCCCCCUGCAGUGCCUAUCUGCCUUCAGAACAGAAGUGAGCGGUAACCAAGCCAAUGGCUGGGAGGAAAAAGAAAAGGAUGCUCAGCCCAGAAAGAGCCACUUCCAAGCACAGAUACGGUGAGAUUCACACAGGCUGCCGGCCGAGCCAGUGACGUUCACGGGCUCCCUCAGCUGAGGCCUGACAUCUCCGCUCUGGCCAGGAGGAGCUGUGCCAGCCCCAGUGAGAACCCCAGACUAGAACGACCAGGCUCCCUCUGCCUAUCUGCUGUCAGAAGCCUUCCCCACAGCUGAGCUCUUUCUUACUGGGAGGGAGGGCUUCUCUGUCUGUUUUAGUGCUCAGUUCAGUGCUUCCCGUAAGUAUUACAAAUAUCCCUUCGAACA